UACGAAGGGGGCUAGCGUUGCUCGGAAUGACUGGGCGUAAAGGGCGCGUAGGCGGAUGAUACAGUCAGAUGUGAAAUUCCCGGGCUUAACCUGGGGGCUGCAUUUGAGACGUGUUGUCUAGAGUGAGGAAGAGGGUUGUGGAAUUCCCGUGUAGAGGUGAAAUUCGUAGAUAUCGGGAGGAACACCGGUGGCGAAGGCGGCGAACCUGGGUCAUGACUAUGAGCGCAUGAGGCGGCG
rnacentral:rRNA from 1 species